rnacentral:rRNA from 2 species
UACGUAGGGACCAAGCGUUGUUCGGAUUUACUGGGCGUAAAGGGCGCGUAGGCGGCAAUUCAAGUCAUCUGUGAAAUCUCCGGGCUUAACCCGGAACGGUCAGAUGAUACUGCUUUGCUAGAGUGCAGAAGGGGCAAUCGGAAUUCUCGGUGUAGCGGUGAAAUGCGUAGAUAUCGAGAGGAACACCUGAGGUGAAGACGGGUUGCUGGGCUGACACUGACGCUGAAGCGCGAAAGCCAGGGGAGCAAACGGG